GAGGAUUCCUGCGAGAUUUUGUGCUGAUUGCCCACGACAUUAAAAAGAGAGCAUUCUAACCAUUGCCUUUUUGUUGUGAAUGCAGACCAGAGAAGACACUACACAGAGGUCACAUUGGUGCCGUGACUCCUUCGUGACGCUGCUGAAUCGGGCUGGUGUCCUCUCGUCGCAGCAUCAUCGUGGAGCAUCAGCUUCCUUAUUGUUUAGUCUGUUGGGUAACGGAAUCAAACUUUGGGGACUGUUGGACAUACUUUUAUAUUGGCUUUGUAUAUUGCCAUAUUGUAUUAAGUCCACCUUAGCUCUAUUAAUAUUCUGCUAGAUAUGGAUCUAAGUGACUCUGAU